GCCAGCCCCUCGUCCCACCCUGGCUUAGGACCCCCAUCGCGGAUCCUAAGAACCUUAGGACCCACUUGGAGGACUGUGGGUAUUAGGUGUCCAAGAAGAAAGCUCAAAUCUGCUGACGGCAGGUACCUUACUUGGGAUUUACUCUCCGACAGGGGUCCGAACUCAGCCCGGGAACAGAAAGAAAGCAGGUUAUUUGCAAUCUACCGGAGCCUAAGGGCAGAAGGCAGGUGAGGGAAUUCUUGGGAGCUGUGGGGUUUUGUAGACUGUGCAUCCCAAACUUUGCAGUAUUAGCCAAGCCCUUUUAUGAGGUCACAAAGGGGGCGGGGACCGGGAACCUUUGGAAGGGGGAUCCCAACAACAGCAAGUCUUUCAUGAGUUAAAGGAAAAACUUCCGGCAGCCGCAGCCCUGGGAUAACCGAUCUGACAAAGCCUUUUCCAUUGAAUGCAUCAGAGAGAAAAUAGAUGGCAGCUGGACAUUUAACCCAAAGUGUGGAGCCCUGGCUGAGGCCGGUGGCCUACGUCUCUAAACAACUAGACAGGGUUUCUAAAGGAUGGCCCCCCUGUUUGAGGGCCGUGGCAGCAACUGCCCUGAUAGUAGAAGAAGCAAAUAAGCUGACUCUUGGGCAAAACCUGAACAUAAAGGCUGCCC
rnacentral:lncRNA from 1 species